UUGUAAGGGCAGGAAAUGCUGUGUGAUUCUGGAUCUGGCUAUGGCAAGCUGACCUUUGGCUCAGGGACCAGACUCUCCAUCCAGCCCAAAGUCACUCCAUCUCCCUCAGUCUACAGGCUGACCUCCAAGGAUGCCCAGGGUCUGGAAAUGUGCCUCAUCACAGAUUACUCCCCCGAGCAGCUGACUCUGAGCUCAGCUGAGCAGCACACCUCUGCUGUGGUGGGGGUGGCCACUGCAGAGAGCAGUGAGGAGUCCAGCUACCUGAGCACCUACUGGGCCAGGAGGGAGCAGCUGCACUGUGCUGCCAGCCACGAGGGCUUUGGAGAGCUGGAGGGAGAGGACCCUGAGAGUGGUGCCAGUGCUGUCUGUGUCACAGGGCUGUCCCUCCACUUCAGGACAGAUGAACACUUGAACACCCUGUCUUUGUCACAGCUGGGCCUCAAAAUCGUUUUAAUGAAAGCAGUCAUCUUUAAUGUGCUGAUGUCAGUGCUUGUGUGGAAGAAAAAAAAGGACUGAGAGGAACCAGCUGGUGCAGUCCUGAAGUACCAAACCCAUCAGCUUUGAGAGAGCAUCGUGGGCAAGAAGGAGCUCGGGGAAAUUCCUUGUGCAAGGGACAUCCCCUGCUGCUCCUACACAUCACACCAGCCAUUAGAUUCUAAAUUGCUUUCUUUGCAUUGCUAUAAAACUGCUCAAAAUGAAACAUUUCCAACGCUCUGCCCUCCAGAUGUCUGGGUCAUUGACCACACUGUGCCUCUUUUGCACGAAGCACACUUUGUUAUAAUUAUACAUUGCCAUUAAAAUGACAGCUUCUGCCUGGAGCAGUGCUGGGUGUUAAAAACUGCAAGCUAAAUAUCAUCUGAAUGGGAGAUUUGCCUAUUUUGGUAGCUUUAGGGUAUUCAUAUCUCAGGGUGCACCCCCAGAAACCUUUCCAGGUGCAAAUGAAACACUUGGAAAAGUGAAGGGAGGCUGACUCAGGAUGCACUGUCUUGUCACCCUUUGCUAGAUCACAGCAAAAUGUCCCUUUUUUUCCCUAAAGGGUGAGCUGCAGGUCUCCCAGAAGUCCCAAAUUCAGUGAAAUUGUCACUUCAAUAUCAAAAAAAAAAAAAAAAAAAGAAAAAAAAAGAAAAAAAAUAUUUUUUUAAGUCUGCCUGACCAUAACACCUUCUUAAUUUAAACCACUUUAACAUUUGGCUUUAUAUUCAGUAAAAAUACAAACCACUUUUGUUCUUUUUGUUUACUUCUAACAACCUGAGAUCUCCCAAGUUCUUUUUGUAACAAUUGCAUAAAAAUGUACUGAAAUAUUUACCUGUGCUUGCCUGUGGCAUCUGCAUGCUGCUAAUUCAUGAACUGUCCUGGCACCCAUGGGAUGUAUUGGCAUUUCUUUAGGCUGUUAUCAAACAAUUCUUACAAAAAAUGAGAAA